UACGGGGGGGGCAAGCGUUGUUCGGAAUUACUGGGCGUAAAGGGCUCGUAGGGGGCCAACUAAGUCAGACGUGAAAUCCCUCGGCUUGACCGGGGAACUGCGUCUGAUACUGGAUGGCUUGAGUUUGGGAGAGGGAUGCGGAAUUCCAGGUGUAGCGGUGAAAUGCGUAGAUAUCUGGAGGAACACCGGUGGCGAAGGCGGCAUCCUGGACCGGCAUUGACACUGAAAAGCGAAAGCCAGGGGAGCAAACGGG
rnacentral:rRNA from 1 species